GAUGACAGUAUUUUGGGUGUGGGUGGGUUACUAUGGUGCGAGUGCCGGGCAGGAGGCACAGGACACAUGCCCACUGUCAGCGCUCGUCAUAUGCUCCAGAGUCCUGGCCCUAGCUAUAGGCAACUACCUAGGACAUGGGGAAAUCCUAGGGCCUGCAGAGCAGCAUGGCAUACUACUGUCAGUGUCAGCACAGCUGUGAAAGUGAAACUACAGAGGAGUCCGAUCAGGGGGCGUGGCUACACGGGUCACUGCUGCCUUCCUGCAAUGUGUGAAACUGAGGGGAGGAAUGGCUCUGAGCUGCAAUACUGGACAUUGUGAUAUGCUGCCAUGUAAUUGUCAUGUGUUAAGCAGCUGCCCGGGAUCUGCCACCACGAGGAGCCUGACUGCCAGCGAGGAGAGAUGGGCCGGCCUGACCAUUACAUCGCGGAGAGUACCAUAUGUGGAGGGUGCUGCUGCUGCCUUCUCAUGUCCUCCCGAGGUGUGCUCGCACACCUGCUGCACUGCUUAAAGAGAGAGCCUGGAUCACAGUGUGAGGUGAGUGGGGACCCAGGGAGGGAAACCACUGGGACAGGGUCGCACACUGCGGCCGCCAUCUUUCUGCACCUCUGCCUUAGUCACUCUAUACCUGUCACCCACUAUCUCCCUGUCAGCCCUGUCUCAGU